GGCUCCUUGGUCGAGCGGUAAGAACACUUGCUCAUUCUGGAGUCCCGGGUUCGAUUCCCGGCCGAGGAGAUA